rnacentral:rRNA from 1 species
UACGUAGGGGGCAAGCGUUGUCCGGAUUUAUUGGGCGUAAAGGGCGCGUAGGCGGGAUGGCAAGUCGGUCGUGAAAUCCUUCGGCUCAACCGAAGAACGUCGGCCGAUACUGCCGUUCUUGAGGGAUGCAGAGGAGAUUGGAAUUCCCGGUGUAGCGGUGAAAUGUGUAGAGAUCGGGAGGAACACCGGUGGCGAAGGCGGGUCUCUGGGCAUCUCCUGACGCUGAGGCGCGAAAGCGUGGGGAGCAAACGGG